rnacentral:rRNA from 1 species
AUUGAACGCUGGCGGCAUGCUUUACACAUGCAAGUCGAACGGUAACAGGUUAAGCUGACGAGUGGCGAACGGGUGAGUAAUGCAUCGGAACGUGCCCGGUCGUGGGGGAUAACGCAGCGAAAGCUGCGCUAAUACCGCAUACGAUCUGAGGAUGAAAGCGGGGGACCGUAAGGCCUCGCGCGAUCGGAGCGGCCGAUGUCAGAUUAGGUAGUUGGUGGGGUAAAGGCUCACCAAGCCAACGAUCUGUAGCUGGUCUGAGAGGACGACCAGCCACACUGGGACUGAGACACGGCCCAGACUCCCACGGGAGGCAGCAGUGGGGAAGUUUGGACAAUGGGCGAAAGCCUGAUCCAGCAAUGCCGCGUGCAGGAAGAAGGCCUUCGGGUUGUAAACUGCUUUUGUACGGAGCGAAAAGGUCUCCUCUAAUACAGGGGGCUCAUGACGGUACCGUAAGAAUAAGCACCGGCUAACUACGUGCCAGCCGCCGCCGUAA